GGCCGGUGGUGGGUCUUGAACCUGCGGACCCUCCGCUCUGUAGUCUCUCCUCUUAUCCCCCCUGAGCUACUCGCUCAGAUACUAAUUCUCUCGGUUUUUGCGCAUUUAUCAUCUAUUUUUUGGCGUUUUCGAGUUUUUUUUUUAACUCAAGUCUCGACUCGACCGUUUUUCUCAGGAGGUUGGACUUCAGCCUUUGUGCUGGAGGGUGGAACCCUCAGUUCCAAGACUUUCCAAAGCCUCCACACCUCCCAAGUCCUCAGGACCUGAGCUUUCACACAGUCUGAGGGUUGAAAUUUUCUAAGUCCCACAGUAGUUCUCUGUUAGAUUGAACCUUCAGACAGUCCAAGGACUGAUAUCUUCUAAGUUCCUGAGUAGUUCUCUGUUAGUUUGAACCUUCAGACAGUCUGAGGACUGAAAUCUUGAAAGUUUCUCAGUACUUCUCUGUUAGUUUGAACCUUCAGACAGUCUGAGGACUGAAAUCUUAAAAGUUUCUCAGUACUUCUCUGUUAGUUUGAACCUUUAGACAGUCUGAGGACUGAAAUCUUAGAAGUUUCUUAGUACUUCUCUGUUAGUUUGAACUUUCUGGUUAACAGAAGCCUUAAAACUUGUGACCAUGAGUCUUGAUUUCACAUUUAGACCAUCCAUCUGAGUUCUUCUCAGACCUUCACCUGUAGGUUUUUUAGAAAUCCUGAACAAACUUUGAUUCUCUUCACUGAACAGUAAAAUUUGUAGAGAUCAGAAGGUAACAUUAGUUUGAUUGAUGCCUUCAACUACUCGUAGACUUUAUCUGGAAAGCAGUUUUCUGAAAUGAGUUCUUAGUAAAUCUGUCCACAAUCAAACCAAGAACAUAGAAAGAGGAAAUGUUUGAAGAAACAAUUUGAUGUUUUCAUUUCAGACUAGAAAACACUUUAAGGCCUUUAUCUGUUUUUGCUCUUUUGAUCAAUUUAUUGUUUCUUCUGUUUAAUUUGAACUUCUAAAGUUUAACUGGUGCCCUUUCAAAUGUUUAAUCUUUAGUUUGAUUCUUAAAUGUUUAGUUUUGCUCUUUUCUCACCUUUUAUUCUGUUCUAAUGUCUGAUCUGAUUUCCAAAUGUUUUGUCUUUUUAAUGUUUAAUUGUUGUUUUUUCAAAUGUUUUAUCAGCCUGUUUGAAAAAUUUCCUUUUCUUUCCCAAUGUUUAAUUUUUUGAUUAAAUCUUUGUAAGGUUUUUCUUUUUAAAUGUUUUACCACCUUUUAAUGUUUAAUUUUCUUUUUUAAUGCUUCAUUGUAUUUUCUGUUUAAUUCCUAUUUAAAGUUUUAUUGUCUUUAAGAUUUAAUUUACUAAUUAAACAUUUAAUUUUUUAAUUAAAUGUUUUGACUUUGAAAGGUUUAAUAAUCUAAUUAAAUGUUUUGUAUUUUUCUAAAUGUGUAAUAUUCUUGUUUAAUUGUAUUUUUUAAAUGUUUAAUUAUCUAAUAUAUUUCAUCUUUAAUGGUUAAUAUUUUUGUUUAAAAAUUUUUGUUUAAUUUCAUAAUUACAUGCUUUGUGUCUUCCAUUUAAUUAUCUAACUAAAUAUUUUGUCUAAUAUAAUUUAAUUGUAUUUAAUGGUUAAUUUUCUUUUUAAAAGUUUUCUUAUAUUAAAUGUUUUUUUCCUUUGAUUUAAUUGCUUUUUACUGUAGUUUAUUUCUUUAAUCUUUUUUCUGCCAAGAUUGUAACCCCAACCUUAAAAAUGAAACAAACCCUUAAAUCACAAUGAAAAUACUUCUGUUGUCACAAUCAUGAGUUAGUCAAUUAUUCAGUUUAUCAAUUCAGCUUUAUUUGUUUAGCACCUUUCACACAGAUAACAAAACUUAACAAGUAAAGAGAAAAAACUAUGCUAAAACUAUGAUUAAAACUCACAAACAAAAAAAUAGAUGUAACAUGGUAAUUAAAUAUGUUGUGUCCAGGGGAUGGAGGGAGUUUAUUGAAGUCUUCUUGGGCUCACAUGGUAAAUCAUUUAAAAUAUAAACUUGAUAUUCAGUCUAAGGAAACUGCAGAAUGACAGAAGAACCAACAAUAUCUCCUGUUUUCUCCUUUAAUGAGUCGACUCUUCUUGUGCUUUCAGACCAAAGAACUACAGACUCUUCACAACCUGCUCAAACUCUUGGUACAGGACCUCACCACACGGAUCAAGAAGGUUUCCAUCUCAUUUCUACUCUGAAGAUCACCUUCUCCUGCUCAAACUGCUGAUAAAUGUUACUGCUGCUCUAAAGUCUGCUCUCCAGAACUUCCUAAAAACUCUCAAAGUCUCUUCUGCUGCAGGUUGCUUUGUAGAACUGUUCCAGAAAACCUCACUAAACCACAUGGAGGGGCCUCAAGAUAGUCGUCCAAAUGAAACCAUACAAAAACCAAACUAGCACAACCCAAACGCUAAAGUCUCCUGCAGCCUACCAGAGAACCUCUGAGAACAGAGAAUCAGGACAGGAACUCUUACCUUCUGGACAACCAACGCUGGUUCUCAAACAGGAAUACAGAAUGUGUCUGACCAAAAACCUCUAAAGACUCACUACAGCCAAGAUAAAGACAACGCAGCUGCACCAAAUCCACUAAUUACUGCACACAUUAGCACCAUGUGCCAACUGUGGCUAAAGAACCACCUUUACCAAGACAACUAUCCAGUACAAAGCCCUAAAACACACCAAGAAACACAUUAAAGUCUAUUUUACUGCUGGAAGCUGCAAGCCAACGCCUAAAGAACAAAUUAAAGCAAUGGAGCCAAACCCAGUUCAGUGGUGAAGAGAAGCAGAGGAAAUGUUUGUCUGCAGCUAAAUAAAGCAGGAAGACACUGAGCUGCUCAGGUGUUCCUGAUAACACCAAGCAGCCACCUGGACAGCCAAUAGGAACACAGCUUCCUGGAAGUCCAGAGGGCUGGGUUAGUGAAGGAAAUUUAGUUUAAAGUUGAAGCAGAAAGUUAACAAAGAAAGUUGAAAACCACCUUCUGAUACCUGAAAUCUCUGAGUUUUCACACAAAGAACACCUGAACAUGUCAAACUGGUUCCAUAGUAGAACCAUCAUUGUAAAAACGUCAUAGUAUGGUGUGUUGCUCAAAAAACAUUAGGACCCGGCUGUCAGGGGACAAACAUGUAAGAAACAUGAGAACAGAGAGAACCCAACCAGUAGGUCACAGUUUAUCAUCCCCCAGUCAUCUCCUGAAGUCCAUAUGGUGAGAGACAUCAGUAUCUGGUUGUUAAUUUACCAGAGGAUGCUUAUAAUCAUGCUGAUGUGGUCUGUACUCUACAGUAUUUUAGUGACUCAAUAAAUACCUAAGUUGUUUUUUUAAAAAUGCUUUUUAGUUUUUAAUAAACAUUUAACAGCCUAUAUGUAAUCAAUAAAUGGCCUUUGCCUAUCUUAAGAAAAAUUCACUCAGAACUCUGAUAUGUUAACAGUACUAAAUAAAUCAAUAAAUACAUGCAUACACACAUAAAUAAGUUAAUACAUUAACUGUGUUAAGAUAAGAUUUAGAUUUUUUAAAAAAAAAGUUGUUUAUGUUUUUGCAGAAUCCAGUAUUGCACACUGGUUGUUCAUUACAUUUUGUUAGUUUGAUUUCACUGUUUAAAAUGAUGCCACCUCUUUUCAGACAGAACCUGUGAUAAUAAAACAAUACAAAAUUUUUAGUUCCGUGUUAAUAAAGCACUUAAAUCUUUAAGUAUGGCUAAAUGCUUUUUUCAAAAUUAAAUAUAUCACUCCUUAGGUGGUAGUGGCCCCAAGUUCAGUAAAGUUGGAAAGAUAUUCACAGAUUCACACUUCCAGCAUCAAUAACUCGUUAGAUAUAGGUUGUCAAAACAUAAACGGUGCCUCUUUCCCAUUGUUGCAAGGCAGACAAUGUGCUACAAGCCCAGUUUUAUCAAAAGUAGCUGUCUUUCAAGCUACAGGAAUAACAUUGGUGUCUAUGGAGUGAACAGGGUCCGUCUGCAAUUUGCAAAACCACUGCAACAGUAAAGAGAGACAAAUAUUCAAUAACUUCACUCUUAUACAUUGUAGUGUCACUAAAAUCACUGCAGCCUUCAACUGGCUCCUGUUGACAAAGUGUUUUAACAGAAAUGUAAAUGCUGUAAUUUGAUUCUUUUAAUGAACCAUGUAACUUGAAUGGAUGUGAUGCUGGUGUGACCACAGUGCAUACGUCUGAUGUUGCUCACAGUGGUCCAAGGGACGCUCAGGGAGUUUGUGUGUUUGCUCAGACUCAGGAAAAAUUACAGGGAACAUUGCUCUGAAGUGAUGUAUGUUUGAAUUGGCACUAUAUUUAUAAAACUGAUUUAAAUGAAUCUUUUAUAUGUGAUUUCCAAUUAGAUGAUUUUUUUU